AUUGAACGCUGGCGGCAUGCCUUACACAUGCAAGUCGAACGGCAGCACGGGUGCUUGCACCUGGUGGCGAGUGGCGAACGGGUGAGUAAUAUAUCGGAACGUACCUUAUUGUGGGGGAUAACGCAGCGAAAGCUGUGCUAAUACCGCAUACGCCCUGAGGGGGAAAGCGGGGGAUCGCAAGACCUCGCGCGAUUAGAGCGGCCGAUGCCUGAUUAGCUAGUUGGUGGGGUAAAAGCCCACCAAGGCGACGAUCAGUAGCUGGUCUGAGAGGACGAUCAGCCACACUGGGACUGAGACACGGCCCAGACUCCUACGGGAGGCAGCAGUGGGGAAUUUUGGACAAUGGGGGCAACCCUGAUCCAGCAAUGCCGCGUGAGUGAAGAAGGCCUUCGGGUUGUAAAGCUCUUUUGCCAGGGAAGAAACACCGGCUCUAACACAGUCCGGGAAUGACGGUACCUGAAGAAUAAGCACCGGCUAACUACGUGCCAGCAGCCGCCGUAA
rnacentral:rRNA from 1 species